GUGCUUCAAGUCAGCCACUCGUUGUGUGACUGCGCAAGUAACUAAUGAGGGUUCUUCAACAAAUGAAUCUCUGUUUAUUGCCAAGUGACAGUGGCAGUGAUAUGCAAGAUACGAAGCCCUUUAUAUCGGAUUACGUUUUGCUAUAGUGCAGUGGUUUAUCUGUACUGCAGUGCUACACGGUUUGCCGACAAGUUACCUUUGUCCGGAGGAGGCGAACAUCAAAGCCAGUAAGGUUACAAAUGUUCGGCUGAUGGGAGAAGAUGAAAAGGAACUUUCAUUAGGUUUUCUUAUUAUGGAGUUCGAGCUGUUGCUGAUGGAUAGAGGAUGGAAGGUGAGCAUGAACGAGCAACUGGGAACUGUCCAUGUCCUCCCACGACUCGGUUAAUUGAAUGCCGCAAGGCGGCAGCACAAGUCCAGUCUCAACAAAUUGUGCUGAUCUGGGCUUUGGAAAUAACAGAGGAGGCCAUGAUGGAAUGACUUCUAUUUUCUGCCUUCUUCGGUGCCAUGAAAUGAUGGAAGAUGUAAUGCGGUUGUUGUCUAAACACCAUAUUCAGAACUACUACACGGAUAUGGAUGGAAUUUGACGUAAGAAUUUUAAAGUAAGAGAUAAGAGACGAAUUUAAUUUUGGACGUAAUCGGCCCGCAUUUAUCCCUACAUCAUAUGACCUUCGUUAUAAAUUAAUAAUUACAAAAUUUAAUGAAUUAUUUCUGUUCAUAAUCUAGAUUAAUAUUUUAAUUGGCUGAAAAUCGAAAGAUAUAACCUCGGAGGGUGGCACCUUUGCCAAAUUUCUAAUUCUCAACAUACCAAAAUAAUACAUCAUACAAAAUAUUUUGGAGUGCUUUAUGAUUUAUCUACUUAAGCAUUUUUUCAAGGCUAAAUUCAACGAUUAAUUUGUUAUUGUCAUAAAGCUCAAAGCUGAAUACAG